rnacentral:rRNA from 1 species
GUGUCAGCAGCCGCGGUAAUACAGAGGGUGCGAGCGUUAAUCGGAUUUACUGGGCGUAAAGGGCGCGUAGGCGGUCAAAUGAGUGUGAUGUGAAAGCCCCGGGCUUAACCUGGGAAGUGCAUCGCAAACGAUUUGACUGGAGUAGAUGAGAGGGUGGUGGAAUUUCCGGUGUAGCGGUGAAAUGCGUAGAGAUCGGAAGGAACGUCAAUGGCGAAGGCAGCCACCUGGCAUCAUACUGACGCUGAGGCGCGAAAGCGUGGGGAGCGAACAGGAUUAGAAACCCCUGUAGUCC